rnacentral:lncRNA from 1 species
UUUUUUUUCUAAGUUGCAAGUCUACCCUCAACUUGCAAUUCGGGCCUGACCUUUUGUCGUAGUUGUAAUCCCACCCUCGACUCGCAACUGGACUUUAACAUUUUUUUUGUCUACGUUGCAAGUCCAUCCUCAAAUCGUAACCGUAGCCCGAACUUUUUUUGUCCCAAUUUUAAGUCUAUCCUCGACUUGCAACUGAGGCCCAACUUUUUUUUCCGCUAGUUGCAAGUUCAGCUUCAACUCGCAACUAGAGCCUGAUCUUUUUUUAGUCUCAAUGGCAUGUCGACCCUUGACUCGCAACCGGGGCUUGAGUUUUUUUGUCCUCGUUACAAGUCCAUCAUCGACUCACAACUAGACUCGACAUUUUUUUCUGGUUGAUAGUCUAAUCUUGACUCGCAACUGGGUCAACAUAUUGUCCCAAUUGCAAGUCUACCGUCGACUUGCAACUGGGCCCAACUUUUUUUUUGUCCCAGUUGCAAGUCCACCCUUGACUCGCAAAUGGGGGCCCGACCUUUUUAUGUCCCAGUUAUAAGUCCACCAUCGUCUCGCAACUGGGUCUAACAUUUUUUGUACUAGUUGCAAGUCCACCAAGAACUCGCAACUCGAGCACGACCUUUUUUUGUCCCAGUUGCAAGUCCAUCAUUGACUCGCAACUGGGCCCUGAUCUUUUUUUGUCCCAGUUGCAAGUUCACCCUUGACUCGCAACUGGGGUCCGACCUUCUUUUUCAGUUGCAAGUCUACAAUCGACUCGCAACUGGAGCCCGAUCUUUUUUUGUCUAAGUUGCAAUCUCACCCUCCACUCGCAACUGGUGCCCGACUUUUUUUUGUCCCAGUUGGAAGUCCAUCCUCAACACGCAACGUGGGCACGACUUUUUUCGUCCCAAUUGCAAGUCCACUGUGAACUUGUAACUGGGCUCCCACCCUUUUUUUUCCGAGUUGCGACACAGUAGGUGCGUGACUUUUUCAUGCGCGACAAACAGACAAAAACAAGUAAGAGUAUAUUCACCUCAUCCUAAAAAAUAUAUUCACCUCUUUCUAAAUAUAUAUUCACCUCGUUCUACAAUUUAUUCACUGAUUUUUUUUAAAAAUGUUUACAUUGUCACUCGAGUGCUUGUUAAUGUGUUAAGUGAUCCCUAGUAUAGGACGUUUGUGUCCACUGAGAAAGGAAGUCAACACACCAGUACGUCGUUGACGCAAAAUUCCUGUAGCAAAUCGUGUGUCACUGUAGACUACACUGUAGCACUGCGGCUCAACAUCAGCGACUCAACGCCCGGUUCGUGCAUGGGUGACAAGGAAAAAAUAAAGACAAAUAAUAUGUCACAUCUAGAUGAGCUAUAGACACACCCUUUUUUUUUCAAUUAACAGAGCUAAGCACAACCUCCCUAGAUGAGAAAAAAAGAGCAAUUGAUCGAUCAAUAGCUUUUCCUCCUAUUUAAUGAAGCCACGUGGACGUCCCACUAUGUGAAAGCUCUCUUCCCCUCCCGGUAAUAACCUUCCUAAAUUAAAUUGGAGCUUACAUACCGGAUUAGUAGCUCCGAAGCCCAAAGGUCAUGGAUACCUGCGGAUGUUGUCUUUUCAUCUUCAGCCCUUUACCAACAAGUAUAUAAUUCCCCCUCUGUAUGCCGGAGAGAUGCACUGGAAAUAGCCACGUUUUCUCGCGGAUAAAGAGCACCGGGCCGAGCUGCACAACAGCGUCCAAUUCCAGUGGUCCAGAUAUGGGAGAUUGGGUUUCACAGGAGGAGGUUCUCCCUUGCGCAUUCUUCUCGAGCGUCUAUUCAAGGCAGCAUUUGGGUACUUUUUUUGUCAAACCUUUGGAUCUACAAGCAAGUAAAUUCCAUCAUCAAGAGCGUCCUUGCAAUUUGUUCUCCAUUUCUCUAUCCAGAUAACAUGCAUGCUUAUCUUUUCAUCUCUGUCCCGCCAUACAUCAAGAAUUAGGGAAGGGUCAGAAUUUUUAUGAAGGAAGCGUCAGAAUUGGGUCAUUGUGUUUAGCCUGCCCUAGAGCUACUGCUGGCGUUAUCCAUUGAAGCUUCGUGUUUAGGAGGAGGCACAACCUGUCUCGGUUUGAUGAAAGCUUUUAUCUGAUUCGAAUAUGCAGAUUGCAGGUAAAUUCGUCUUUGUUGGUAUCUAAGGCAGUAGGUCAACAAAGAGAGUGGAUAAAAUGUACGCUCACGUUUGGAUUUGAAGGCCUGUUCCCAAUUGUAUAGGAUUUGCCAUCUUCUGCACUGGCAAAUACGCACCCAAUUGAGUAGAGGAAGAGGCAGGGGAAGAAUACUCGGUAGUUGCAAGCAAAUUCCAGAAGCUAGCCACCUGUAAAAGCGAGAAAUUUUUCACCUUUGUUUAGCAAUCAGGACCCGAUGGAGAAUCCUACUUACAGAUAAUGAGUAUUUUUUAUGUCAACGAGUCAUCAUUGUUCCUUUUGUCAUGUGGUUACGCAAAGUGUUCUGAAAAUAAAUUUGAUUAUGCAAAAUCUCAUGCAUGGGUCUUCUCGAUCUCAUCGUCUCUUUGUUACUCCCUCAGUCCUAUAAUAUAUUGUUUGUAAUAACAACAUAUUAUAACCAAUGUAUUCAUAUAUUGUUAUUACAACCAAUGUAUUCAUGUAUUGUUAUUACAAUCAAUGUAUUCAUAUAAUGUUUGUAAUAACAUCUGAUAUCAUGGUACAGAGGGAGUACAUAACUACAUAUUACAAUAUAUUUCAUAUAAUUUAAAAUUGUACAUACAUACGGCAUAUAUUUUUAAUAUUACCCGAAACAUAUUUUUAUGUUGUGCUAGAAACAUUCUGAUUCUUUAUUAACUAUUCCGGUUGGCAAUUCCCUCAUGAUAGAAAGUGAUACACGUUAUUUAUGUACUGAAGUUUACUAAGAAUUUUUAACCCCCAUUUAUCUUAACAUGAUAUUCUUUUUUUGUGUGCGAAACUUGACAUGAUAUUCUAACUUUGAUAAAUUACAGUUUCCUAUUUGCAUAGGAUUAGUAUCAGUUGCAAGAAAAGUUUUGUAGAUGGAAUGCCUAUUGCCUGCAAUAUGGUAUUGUUUAGCUGAAACAGUUAUUCUACUUCUUCACGGCCCAAUUUAUCUUUCUAUCGGACAACUUUCCUACCAGGUCUCACAAGCAGCAAUAUAAUUUGUAAUUAAAUUCAAUUUAUGUCUGCUUUUUAGAGCUAUAUGAUUUCCGAAUGUCAGUUUUCCUUCCCUUUCUUUAGCUUUUAUUCUUUCGAUGUAUCUAUUCUUAAUAACCAAAUGUCCCGCAACAACGUGCGGGGUAUUGUCUAGUAUGUGGAUAAACUUGGUCAAACAGAGAGUAGUUUGACUUCUAAAUGAAAAGCAGAGCUAUUGCCUUGCUAGCAAAAGGCGGAGAAAAAAAAAGUAGAGCAUCCUAGCAAAUGAACAAGUUUUACCUUUCACUCUGUAAAAGGCAAGAUGAAGGGUUUGUAACGCUUUCUACUUGGGUUAUCAGCAGGGAAGUUUUAUUACAAAUUUUACCUUUCCCGGUGGUGGUGUUCACUCUGUAAAAAGGCCAGGCGAAGCAUUUGAAAUACCGUGUGGUUGCCAAGAGAAAUGUUUUAUUAUAAAUAGCGUAUUGGUUCGUUUCUAACAACAUCGUCUGGGUGGUGUAGUUGGUUAUCACGUUAGUCUCACACACUAAAGGUCCCCAGUUCGAACCUGGGCUCAGACAAUUUUGUCACUUUUUUUGUGCGUUGCUGCCAUCUCUUUUUUUGUGUCCCUUGCAUAUUUUUGCCAUAGCUCCAUAACGUUUUGCGUCAUCUUGGUCUUUGCUCGGGAGAAGAUUUUGGCAGUGAUGAUUUUCUGAUUUUGGCAGUGAUGAUUUUCUGACAACGGCAGCAUAUACCAGGAUCAUGAGCCCAACGGGACGGUGACAAAUAGCAAGUCGUACUAGUACAUGUUAGUAUAUGGCAAAAAUGCUCAAUCUCUAAUGUGGGAGUACAUUAGGACAAAGUUUAGCUGAUGUAACAACUCCGCUGCUUAAAGCUAACCCAGAAGCAGUCAUACUAUGAAUAAUCGGACGAACAGAUGACCCAGCUGCUUUUUUCUGUUAUAUUGUUCUUGUAAUUUCACGCUAUCAGCUAUAGAACAGCCCUAAACUGCUGGGUGAUCGAAAAACUUC